UACGAAGGGGGCUAGCGUUGCUCGGAAUGACUGGGCGUAAAGGGCGCGUAGGCGGUUUGUAAAGUCAGAUGUGAAAUUCCUGGGCUUAACCUGGGGGCUGCAUUUGAUACGUGCAGACUUGAGUGAGGAAGAGGGUUGUGGAAUUCCCAGUGUAGAGGUGAAAUUCGUAGAUAUUCGCAAGAACACCAGUGGCGAAGGCGGCUCACUGGCCCGGUACUGACGCUGAGGUGCGAAAGCGUGGGGAGCAAACAGG
rnacentral:rRNA from 1 species